rnacentral:rRNA from 1 species
CACUCCUGCGGGAGGCAGCAGUGGGGAAUUUUGGACAAUGGGCGAAAGCCUGAUCCAGCAAUGCCGCGUGAGUGAAGAAGGCCUUCGGGUUGUAAAGCUCUUUUGUCAGGGAAGAAACGGUGAGAGCUAAUAUCUUUUGCUAAUGACGGUACCUGAAGAAUAAGCACCGGCUAACUACGUGCCAGCAGCCGCGGUAAUACGUAGGGUGCAAGCGUUAAUCGGAAUUACUGGGCGUAAAGCGUGCGCAGGCGGUUUUGUAAGUCUGAUGUGAAAUCCCCGGGCUCAACCUGGGAAUUGCAUUGGAGACUGCAAGGCUAGAAUCUGGCAGAGGGGGGUAGAAUUCCACGUGUAGCAGUGAAAUGCGUAGAUAUGUGGAGGAACACCGAUGGCGAAGGCAGCCCCCUGGGUCAAGAUUGACGCUCAUGCACGAAAGCGUGGGGAGCAAACAGGAUUAGAUACCCGUGUAGUCCCA